GACAGAGGUGCCAAGCGUUAGGCGGAAUUACUGGGCGUAAAGCGCGCGUAGGCGGCUUUGUAAGUCAGAGGUGAAAGCCUGGAGCUCAACUCCAGAACUGCCUUUGAAACUACAUCGCUAGAAUCAUGGAGAGGUUAGUGGAAUUCCGAGUGUAGAGGUGAAAUUCGUAGAUAUUCGGAAGAACACCAGUGGCGAAGGCGACUAACUGGACAUGUAUUGACGCUGAGGUGCGAAAGCGUGGGGAGCAAACAGGG
rnacentral:rRNA from 1 species